rnacentral:rRNA from 1 species
UUGAAGAUGAGCCCGCGUCCGAUUAGCUAGUUGGCGGGGUAACGGCCCACCAAGGCGACGAUCGGUAGCCGGCCUGAGAGGGCGGACGGCCACACUGGGACUGAAAAACGGGCCCAAACCCCUAGGGGAGGCAGCAGGGGGGGAAUUUUUCGCAAUGGGGGAAACCCUGACGAAGCAACGCCGCGUGGAGGA